rnacentral:rRNA from 1 species
AACGUACGCUGGCGGCAGGCUUAACACAUGCAAGUCGAACGCAUCCUUCGGGGUGAGUGGCAGACGGGUGAGUAACGCGUGGGAACGUGCCCUUCAGUUCGGGAUAACCCAGGGAAACUUGGGCUAAUGCCGGAUACGUGCGAGAGCAGAAAGAUUUAUCGCUGAAGGAUCGGCCCGCGUCUGAUUAGCUAGUUGGUGGGGUAAUGGCCCACCAAGGCGACGAUCAGUAGCUGGUCUGAGAGGAUGAUCAGCCACAUUGGGACUGAGACACGGCCCAAACUCCUACGGGAGGCAGCAGUGGGGAAUAUUGGACAAUGGGCGCAAGCCUGAUCCAGCCAUGCCGCGUGAGUGAUGAAGGCCUUAGGGUUGUAAAGCUCUUUCGUCCGGGACGAUAAUGACGGUACCGGAAGAAGAAGCCCCGGCUAACUUCGUGCCAGCCGCCGCAGUAA